CCUACGGGAGGCAGCAGUGGGGAAUAUUGCACAAUGGGGGAAACCCUGAUGCAGCGACGCCGCGUGAGUGAAGAAGUACUUCGGUACGUAAAGCUCUAUCAGCAGGGACGAAGAUGACGGUACCUGACUAAGAAGCCCCGGCUAACUACGUGCCAGCAGCCGCGGUAAUA
rnacentral:rRNA from 1 species